rnacentral:rRNA from 1 species
AGCCUAAAGAUUCAUUUUAGGUAGAGCCUGCUCGGUGUGCGUAAGCAUUAACAGCCGCGGUACUUUGACCGUGCUAAGGUAGCGUAAUAAUUUGUCUUUUAAAUGGAGUCAAGUAUGAAUGGCUUUUUGGAGAAGGGCUGUCUCUUAUGGAUUGGUUAGAAAUUACUGUAUAGGUGAAAAAGCCUUUAUUUAAUUAUAGGACGAGAAGACCCUUUGAAUUCUUAUUAAGGAGAAGAAGUAAUGUUUAUCUCUGUAUCUUGAUUGGGGCAAUCAAAAUAACCAUUUUUUUAUUUGAGUGUGAAGACGUGAAAGUUUUUUCGAGAGUGAGUGAAUUACCAUAGGGAUAACAGCAUAAUUCUUUUUAGAGCUUGUGACCUCGAUGUUGGACUAGGAAACCUGUAGGCUAGAAGCCUACAGGGUGGGUUCUGUUCGAACUUUUAUUCCU